AAACUUUAGUGGGGUCCUUGGGGGGAGUUCUAGGAGAUGAUUCCUUCAAUGACGGCAACUUCUUGUGCACCAUUUCUGAAGGGACAAUCCCAUUGGCACUCGACUCCCUUGAAUUAGAAUCAGGUUUUGAGAUUGUAUGCUCUGUAGGUUCUUUAACAGUACCCUCACCUCUUAACAUGCUCUUCUUGCUCCCUGAAGGCAACUCCUGGUAGACCAUUUCUACAGGGGCGAUCUCAUUGGCACCUGACACCCUUGCAUUCGAAUCAGGUUCAGGGCUUUUAUGCUCCAUAGCAGUACCCUCACCUCUUAACAUACUCUGCUUGCUCUCUGAAGGCAACUUCUUCUGGACCAUUUCUAUAGGAACAGUUUCAUUGGCACCUGACUCCCUUGCACUAGAAGCAGGUUGAGAAAUUGUAUGCUCCAUAGGUUCUUUAACAGUACCCUCAACUCUUAACAUACUCAUUUGAUUGCUCUCUGAAGGUAUCUUCUUCUGGACCAUUUCUGUAGGGACCUUUUCAUUGGCACCUGACUCCCUUGCAUUAGAAUAAGGUUCAGAGAUUGUAUGUUCCGU
rnacentral:lncRNA from 1 species